rnacentral:rRNA from 1 species
GACGAACGCUGGCGGCGUGCUUAACACAUGCAAGUCGAACGGAAAGACCCUGCUUUUGUGGGGUGCUCGAGUGGCGAACGGGUGAGUAACACGUGAGUAACCUGCCCUUGACUUUGGGAUAACUUCAGGAAACUGGGGCUAAUACCGGAUAGGAGCUCCUGCUGCAUGGUGGGGGUUGGAAAGUUUCGACGGUUGGGGAUGGACUCGCGGCUUAUCAGCUUGUUGGUGGGGUAGUGGCUUACCAAGGCUUUGACGGGUAGCCGGCCUGAGAGGGUGACCGGCCACAUUGGGACUGAGAUACGGCCCAGACUCCUACGGGAGGCAGCAGUGGGGAAUAUUGCACAAUGGGCGGAAGCCUGAUGCAGCAACGCCGCGUGCGGGAUGACGGCCUUCGGGUUGUAAACCGCCUUCGCCUGUGACGAAGCGUGAGUGACGGUAAUGGGUAAAGAAGCACCGGCUAACUACGUG